GGGAAUUUAGCUCAGUGGUAGAGCGCUUGCCUAGCAAGCGCAAGGCCCUGGGUUCGGUCCCCAGCUUCCA
rnacentral:tRNA from 1 species